rnacentral:pre_miRNA from 1 species
GUACUACUCCCUCUGUUCGGAAUUACUUGUCACAUGGAUGUAUCUACAACUAAAAUACAUCUAGAUACAUUCAUUUCUUGGACGAGUAAUUCCGAAUGGAGGGAGUAUUUG